rnacentral:rRNA from 1 species
GAGUUUGAUCGUGGCUCAGGAUGAACGCUGGCGGCGUGCUUAAGACAUGCAAGUCGAACGCAGUCGCUCCGCAAGGGGCGGCUGAGUGGCGAAUGGGUGCGUAACACGUAGGUGACCUGCCCAGAAGUGGGGAAUAACAGUCCGAAAGGACUGCUAAUACCGCAUGUGGUGCGAGGGUUUUGAAGCCUCGUACGAAAGGUGCUCGCAAGAGUGCCGCUUCUGGAGGGGCCUGCGGCCCAUCAGCUAGUU